UAUUGGGCAAUGGGCGCAAGCCUGACCCAGCAACGCCGCGUGAAGGAAGAAGGCUUUCGGGUUGUAAACUUCUUUUAAGAGGGAAGAGCAGAAGACGGUACCUCUUGAAUAAGCCACGGCUAACUACGUGCCAGCAGCCGCGGUAAUAAGUAGGUGGCAAGCGUUGUCCGGAUUUACUGGGGGUAAAGGGCGUGCAGCCGGGAAGACAAGUCAGAUGUGAAAUCCCGCGGCUCAACCGCGGAACUGCAUUUGAAACUGUUUUUCUUGAGUACCGGAGAGGUCAUCGGAAUUCCUUGUGUAGCGGUGAAAUGCGUAGAUAUAAGGAAGAACACCAGUGGCGAAGGCGGAUGACUGGACGGCAACUGACGGUGAGGCGCGAAAGCGUGGGGAGCAAACAGGA
rnacentral:rRNA from 1 species